rnacentral:rRNA from 1 species
AACGGCAUCACGAGGGUUCCACUGUCUCCUUUUUCUAAUCAGUGAAAUUAAUCCCCCCGUGAAGAAGCGGGGAUAAACCUAUAAGACGAGAAGACCCCAUGGAGCUUUAAACCUAGCUGCACACCC